AUUGAACGCCGGCGGAAUGCUUUACACAUGCAAGUCGAACGGUAGAGGGGGCAACCCCUCGAGAGUGGCGAACGGGUGAGUAAUAUAUCGGAACGUGCCCAGUCGUGGGGGAUAAAGUAGCGAAAGUUACGCUAAUACCGCAUACGAUCUAAGGUUGAAAGCGGGGGAUCGCAAGACCUCGCCCGAUAGGCACGGCCGCCAUCAGAUUAGGUAUUUGGUGGGGUAAAGGCGAACCAAGUCAACGAUCUGUAGCUGGUCUGGGAGGACGACCAGCCACACUGGAACUGAGACACGGUCCAGACUCCUACGGGAGGCAGCAGUGGGGAAUUUUGGACAAUGGGCGAAAGCCUGAUCCAGCCAUUCCGCGUGCAGGAUGAAGGCCCUCGGGUUGUAAACUGCUUUUGUACAGAACGAAAAGGUUUCUACUAAUACUAGGAGCUCAUGACGGUACUGUAAGAAUAAGCACCGGCUAACUACGUGCCAGCCGCCGCCGUAA
rnacentral:rRNA from 1 species